rnacentral:tRNA from 1 species
GAACCGGUAGUGUAGUGGAUAACACGCCACAGUUCGAAGGGACUGCAAAUAGUGAAAGUCGGAGGUUCGAUUCCUUUCAGGUCCA